GGAUACAAUCUACCCCCCCUUUCUUCUUCUUCUUCGCGAUGGAGGAGUCUUUUGCCUUAGGGAGGUAUGUAACCAGAGUGGAUGCUACAGAAACUGUUUGGGUCUAUUUUGUCUAUUUCUCUUUCUUUCUGUUGCUCUCUCUCUCUUUCUCUCUUAAUGAUCUAUGCUCAUUAUACUUGUGUGACCUUUGAAAUCAAAGCCCAGUGUAUUCCUAGUAAGGUGCAUUGGCUGGAAAGGGAUUUGGAGAGGGUGUCUGUAAUGCACCCUGGCAAUCUCUCUCUCUCUCUCUCCCUCCCUCCCUUCUUCCCUCCCUCCCUCCCUCUCUCUCUCUCUCUCUCUCUCUGCUGCAUUUUGCAUGAGCUAUCUAGGUCAUUAGCAUUUUAGCGUAUGCAAGACUUGACAAAGCUGAUGAGAAGCCAGAUGGGCCCCGCUCCUGUUUUUUUUGCACCACUUGGGACCUGAGCGAAAGGACUGACUGCAGCAGGCAAACGGGGAAGGUUUAUUACUCUCACCCAGGCCCCUUUAUUCCAGCACAUCGGCUUUGCGGCAAAGCGCACCCAGUGCCUUGCAGAGGGUAGGUAACGGGAUGACCCUGCAGCCACCGAUCGCUUCCUUCUUUCCCCCUUUUUUCCCCUCUCCUUCCCUUCCUUUCCCCCCCCCCCUUCCUUUUGCACGGCUGGCUGAGUGGGUGUCUGCAGCCUUGCAGCAGCCAUUGCAGGGCUGUUCAUUGUCUGUGUGUCUGGGGGAGCAGGGUGGGUGGGAGAAACAGGGGAAGGAAGGGUGACCCCCCCCGCAAUUGAAAAGAGACAGAGGCUCGCCGCAAACAGGAGCAAGGAGAACAAAGACAACCAUUCAAAUGCAUGGCAUGUUAUCCCAUUGUCUGUGUGUGUCUCCCCGGAGCGGGGGAGGCGGUGGGUGCGAGGGAGGUAGUGGGGGGGGGGUGUUGCUUUUCUUUUUCUCUCUCUUUUUUUUUAUUCCCCCCCCUUUUUUUUUUUUUUUUUGAUUCCUUCUUCCUCUUCCUUCCUCCCGAGGAAAGGCCCCUCUCUCCGUGUUCACAGCGGACCUUGAUUUAAAUGUCCAUACAAUUAAGGCACGCGGUGAAUGCCAAGAACGAGGCUGAAUAGCAUCGAUCCCAGAGCAGAGGAAAAGGCAGCUGCAGGGUGCUGCGCCAGGCUUGUGUGUGUGUGUGUGUGUGAGAGAGAGAGAGAGAGAGAGAUACAGCGAUUACACCGAGUCUGUCUAAUCUAACUGUAAUGCAAUCUCUCAUCUGUUCUUUGCAAAUAAAUUAUACAUCUAUAUGCCAUAAAAUAUGCAUAUAUAUACAUAUUUGUGAGCCUUACACAUACGUAAAGUAUAUAUGUCUAUCUCUAUCUACAUAGCUGUUACAGAUAUAGAUAUAUAGAUAUAUGCAAUACUAAUAGACAGAUGCAAUUGUGUAUUUGUACGUUACAUGGGGGUUAAAAAUUUGCAAAUGAGUUUCCAUUUCUGCAGACGAGGGGACCUUUUCUUUCAAAAAAAUCAGCCCCUUGACCAUGUUUCUGUGGUGUGGAGGUCUCUGUCCCUUCGCCAUCAUCUCUCUCUCUCUCUGACCCCCCCCCCGCCCCCACACACACACGCUCUUUUACUGCAGUUAGCUCUGUUGGGAAAUCAAAUAUUCAGCUGUCACAGAGAUCUGGAUGUGACAUGAAUCUAGUUACCGUAAGGAAGAGCUGCUCAGUGCAAUGCCUCCCCCCCCCUGUUUGUUUUAAAUAGUUUGUUUUAAAAUGUUAAAUUGAUCUUGAUCAGGAUGACUUGCUGAAAAUUCAGGGGGAUGGGGGAGGAGGCAGCCGGACCACUAGGGAAAGCCUUUUUCGGUGCCUGUUUUUGUAUUUUCCCCUUUAAUCCUUAUAAUGUAAAUCAGAAGUGUCUGGGACAGAUUUAUGUCUGCAGGAUCAGGCGGUGUGUAAAUCUCUUGGAAGGAUAAACAUGUCAUUUGUUUCCUUUGUAUGGUAAUGCUACCCCCCCACCCCAACAGCUGCCCCAGCCAUGCAUCCUCGCUACAAAAGGUCCCAAUUACGCUCCAGAAGUGACCCAUCAUCUGCCUCAUUAUUCCCUAGCCCAGACCCAGGGAAGGAGAGGGCUGGGCGUGGGGGGAGGUGGUGUGUUUAUGUGUAUGAGGAGCGUGGGGGGCGGGGGGGGAUGCAAAGCAAAUGAUUUACAGGAUAGGAAGAAGAGGAGGCUGGAGAAGACCGGGCGAAGGCGGGUGGAGAAGAGGGAUGAAGAAUUGCACAGACAGAGGCGGGCGGACAGGACGCUGGAGGCCGCAGGGUCAGCAGAGUGGAUGGAGGCCCCUGGACUAGCCAUGUGAACGGGAGCUCUGACUCCUGUCAGCUUCUGCCUGGCUGGCGGUGCUCAAAGGCAGCGCUUUGGCAUGUCACUGAUUGCACAUUACCUGCCCGAGUGUCUCCCCUCCCCAGUCGUUAGAAGGUAAUUAAACACACACUUCCAAAUUAUACCCAACACCUUCAAGGAAGGGCCUUGCUGGGGGAGAAGGUGUCGGUUUUCUAUUGAUUACAGACAAUUAACAUGCAUCCGAAGAAGUGGGUUCUAGCCCACGAAAGCUUAUGCCCAAAUACAUGUGUUAGUCUCUAAGGUGCCACAAGGACUCCUCCUUGUUUUUGCUGAUACAGACUAACACCGCUACCCCUCUGCAAAAAUUCCUCUGGGUGUGGGACAGGUUUCUGCAACACACGGAUCCAAUUCCCCCCCCCCUUCUCUAUUAGUGGCAAGAAUGCCAGGCUGGGCCCUAGGAGGAAAGGAAAUAGUUCGUCUGAGCGGCAGGAAAUGCACCUGUCAAAACCCUUCUCCUCGCAGGCACUGGAAGAUGCUUGCUCCAGGAUGGAGAGGGCUGGGCGGGUGUGUAAUCGACACAAACCGGAGUGGACUUAAAUUCUGGGGGAGCACUCGAUCGGAGGGGGUGUUGUAUGGGGACAGGUGUAUCAAACGUGUGUGUGUGUAGAGCCCGUUAACACACAGCCACAUCCACAGCUAUAUACUCCGUUUAUGAGGAUACAAUCACAGCGGGUAUUUUCUGUGUUUAUCGCGUUGUCUGCUCUACACACGCAUUAAAGGUCUUCAAACUUCGCUUCCUUUUUUGCAACCAUUUUUAAAAAUCCCUCCCUUUAUUUAAUAUGUUUUCAGUCCAUGAGGUGUGUGUGUAUGUGUGUGUGUGUCUGUGUGUCUGUGUGGUUUUGAUUUGUUUUAAUCUUUUCAGCUCCCAAAAGCCGUUUGCACCUUUGGGGUUUUUUACAUUUGGUUUGGUUCAUUUCGGGCUGUUGUAAACCAGGCACGCCAAUAAAAGCUGAUUCAGUGGU